rnacentral:rRNA from 1 species
GAUGAACGCUGGCGGCGUGCCUAAUACAUGCAAGUCGAGCGAACAGAUGAGGAGCUUGCUCCUCUGACGUUAGCGGCGGACGGGUGAGUAACACGUGGAUAACCUACCUAUAAGACUAGGAUAACUACGGGAAACCGGAGCUAAUACCGGAUAAUAUAUUGAACCGCAUGGUUCAAUAGUGAAAGACGGUUUUGCUGUCACUUAUAGAUGGAUCCGCGCCGCAUUAGCUAGUUGGUAAGGUAACGGCUUACCAAGGCAACGAUGCGUAGCCGACCUGAGAGGGUGAUCGGCCACACUGGAACUGAGACACGGUCCAGACUCCUACGGGAGGCAGCAGUAGGGAAUCUUCCGCAAUGGGCGAAAGCCUGACGGAGCAACGCCGCGUGAGUGAUGAAGGUCUUCGGAUCGUAAAACUCUGUUAUUAGGGAAGAACAAAUGUGUAAGUAACUAUGCACGUCUUGACGGUACCUAAUCAGAAAGCCACGGCUAACUACGUG